rnacentral:snoRNA from 1 species
CUUCUUCCACUACAGAUGCAAGAAAAAGAAGGUUCUUACGCUUUCUGUCUGUCUGAUUGUGGCAGCCAAGAUUGAAUGGAGGAAUACAGGA